UAUCUUCAACGAUGGAUCGCAUGCAUCGAGUUUCGAUGAAGAACGCAGCUCGCCCCCCCACUUACCAAGAAUUGAUACCACUUAGAAUGGUGAAAUUUCGAACCUUCGCACCAUCAGGUUCCCAGUCGGUACGUCCAAAAUCAGAUUUC
rnacentral:rRNA from 1 species